UUUUUAUUUGCCUUUAACGAUAACUAUUGUGACCAAAAUAGAGAUUGAAACGUACCAAGAGGGCCAUAAUUCCAGUCCAAUGCGACGCCCACAACUUCCAUUGGGAGGAGAGUUGUGGGAACGUUUCUUGAAGAGGAAAUUGGAAACUUGGUCCACUAAUAAUGACUGAAUCUUCAAGAAGAUUAUAUUGAAAAUUUUGGAGCAAAAAGGCGAAAAAUAUAUUACAGCAUUUUCAUUCACAAAUCUGUCCAAGCUCUAACUAUGCUGACCGAAUUGUCUUGGAAUAAAUUUUCACCUAAGUGAAUAAAAUCUUCUCUGUAUUUGUAAUUGCAAGCCAGAUGGUCAACAGUUUAUUGUGUACAUUUCAAUAUCACAUCUCUCAGUUUGUAAUUUAACAAAUGAAAUAAAUCAAUUCAAGAAUUUUGAAAUCAA